CCUGUGCUUAUCCUCGCUCCCGAAGCCUCCCGAACCGGCCAGCUCACUUCCGUGCUCAAGUCGCCCACGCCUCUCCCUCUCCCUCUCGUGCGUGUGCUGAGCCAUGGCUGCCACGGCCACGAGCCGAGCUCGCCCCUGCCGGAGCCCCAUGUCCCCCAAACCCUAGCCCCCUUCCUCCAUUGCUGCCGCCACCCCAAGCUCCGCUUGCCGCCGGCCGCCGUCGAUUGCCUCCUCCGGUGCCCCGCUGGAGCUCUCCUAUCGGCGCUGCCUGUUCUUGUUGCGCCGUCCCCUCCGCCGCCGUUCCUGCAGUCUGUGUCGCCGCACGGCCGCUUGCUGGUCACCUGCGUGCGUGUUCUGUGGAGAAGAGAAGAUGAACAUGACUGAACCGUCGGAGAACGAACCCGUUGAGCCUGCCGAGUCCGUCGAGCCUGAACCCGGAAUCCCGUUCAUGGUCGAGCCCGAAGUUAACCCAGGCAAGCAGCUAAGCAUGAUUCUUUACUCCUAUUUAAUCUGAGUUAGUUAGUUACAUCACCGGGUAAUAUGGGGUUAUAUAGUAUGUAUGUAUUGCAUUUUGAUACCUAUUCUCUUGCAUUACCCUUCUUUGAAUUGUUAUCCAUGUCCUUGUCACUUGUUAGUUAGUUAACAACUUAAUCUGAUUAGAUGCUUAGU